rnacentral:lncRNA from 1 species
UACAAGAAAUGCCUUCUCUGGUGAUUUGUAUCUCCUUUCCCUCCCUUCUCUUCCAGGUGUUCCAUGCUGGGGUGUGUCAUUCCUAAUUCAAUGUGAUCAGCAUGUACCGACAUUGAGAUCUGGCUGCUAUCAAGGUGGCUUGCCUUUGUUGGUGCUGAUGUAUGUUUAGAAUAGCAUGUGAAUCUUAAGAUACUGAGACAGCCCUGGAGACAUGAGCUCUGGGUCCGCCAUGCUACUGACUUGAUGUCAUCACUUAAUAUCCUCAAGUUCUUAUCUGUAAAAGGCAAAAUGUGGCCAAAGUCCCACCUAGCUCUUAACAGUCUUUGAAUCUGUGACUUCACCAAGAGUGAACCAACUAUGCUGUGCUUGUUGAAGGUGCUGGGUCUGCCGCCAGCCCACUUCAUUCAGAUGGCCUCCAGGAGACAGAAGUUCUUUGGUAAGUCCCCAAGUCUAAUCUCUUUAUCUCAUUGUGUCUAAUGAGGUGUCACAGGUCUUGAAGGUACUUCCCAUACCCUAAAUCUCAUAUUUUGCUUUUCUCCUGUCCCCAUACCAAAGGGCAGGAUGUGGUUUAGGAGCUUACAGGCAAUGAAAAGUGGUCCCAGAUGGCAUGCUGGAGAUGAGAUGGGUGAAAUCACAAGGGGAAUGGGUUCUUGGCAAUACAAAUGCAUUGGAGCAGGAGAAUGAUCAGGUUCCCACUCAGAAGACCAGUGAGAGAAGAGGGCUGUGGCUGCCUCAUCCCUGCAGUUGGCCCUUGCUCUGGAACACCCGACACAAGGCUGUUGAAGGCCCUGGUUCCUUGAACUGUUUUUUGUUACUGUUUGCAGUCAGUCACUUGCAAGCCAUCAUUUUACUUCCAACUGACUUAUAAAACUCUUUUUCUAUAAAGUAUAUUUAAUUUAUAUUUGAUGACUUAAAGAUGAUCAGUUAGUAAAGCUGUGCAUAGCCAAACUGCCCUUUCUUAUUCUACCUCUGUUAGCAAUUACUUUUUGUUAAAUGUUAGUCAUUGAUUUAGACAUUAAAAAAGCAAAGCAGUAUUAAAUUAUCUGCAAUUUAAUAUUUUUAUAAAGAUAUAUGUAAUUGCUAUAUUACUGUGAUAUUGGUUCCUAGGUAUUGGGGUGGUCAACUGCGGGGAGCCUUUGCAACCAGGAUGCUCUAUAUAUAAACAAAAAAUGUAUCAGGAGUUGGCUAUUUUACAAGUGUUUUUAUUUUUGUUUUAUUUUGUAUCAGAAAUUGAACCCAGGGGUGCUUAACCUUUGAGCCACAUCCCCAGCCCUUUUUAUAUUUUAUUUUGAGACAGGAUCUUGCUAAGUUGCUAAGGGCCUCGCUAAGUUGCUUAGGGUCUUGCUAAGUUGCUGAUACUGGCUUUGAACUAAUGAUCACCCUGCCUCAACUGUCCAGGUUGCUAAUUUUAAAGGCAUGCACCCUGUGCCUGGCCUUAUGAGUGUUUUUCCACUCAAACUGUCUACUGAAAGUCCCUAUAUUAC